UAUUGGACAAUGGGCGCAAGCCUGAUCCAGCCAUACCGCGUGGGUGAAGAAGGCCUUCGGGUUGUAAAGCCCUUUUGUUGGGAAAGAAAUCCUGUUGAUUAAUACUCGGCAGGGAUGACGGUACCCAAAGAAUAAGCACCGGCUAACUUCGUGCCAGCAGCCGCGGUAAUACGAAGGGUGCAAGCGUUACUCGGAAUUACUGGGCGUAAAGCGUGCGUAGGUGGUUCGUUAAGUCUGAUGUGAAAGCCCUGGGCUCAACCUGGGAAUUGCAUUGGAUACUGGCGGGCUAGAGUACGGUAGAGGGUGGCGGAAUUCCUGGUGUAGCAGUGAAAUGCGUAGAUAUCAGGAGGAACAUCCGUGGCGAAGGCGGCCACCUGGACCAGUACUGACACUGAGGCACGAAAGCGUGGGGAGC
rnacentral:rRNA from 1 species